AUGCAAGUCGAGCGGACAGAUGGGAGCUUGCUCCCUGAUGUUAGCGGCGGACGGGUGAGUAACACGUGGGUAACCUGCCUGUAAGACUGGGAUAACUCCGGGAAACCGGGGCUAAUACCGGAUGGUUGUCUGAACCGCAUGGUUCAGACAUAAAAGGUGGCUUCGGCUACCACUUACAGAUGGACCCGCGGCGCAUUAGCUAGUUGGUGAGGUAACGGCUCACCAAGGCGACGAUGCGUAGCCGACCUGAGAGGGUGAUCGGCCACACUGGGACUGAGACACGGCCCAGACUCCUACGGGAGGCAGCAGUAGGGAAUCUUCCGCAAUGGACGAAAGUCUGACGGAGCAACGCCGCGUGAGUGAUGAAGGUUUUCGGAUCGUAAAGCUCUGUUGUUAGGGAAGAACAAGUGCCGUUCAAAUAGGGCGGCACCUUGACGGUACCUAACCAGAAAGCCACGGCUAACUACGUGCCAGCAGCCGCGGUAAUACGUAGGUGGCAAGCGUUGUCCGGAAUUAUUGGGCGUAAAGGGCUCGCAGGCGGUUUCUUAAGUCUGAUGUGAAAGCCCCCGGCUCAACCGGGGAGGGUCAUUGGAAACUGGGGAACUUGAGUGCAGAAGAGGAGAGUGGAAUUCCACGUGUAGCGGUGAAAUGCGUAGAGAUGUGGAGGAACACCAGUGGCGAAGGCGACUCUCUGGUCUGUAACUGACGCUGAGGAGCGAAA
rnacentral:rRNA from 1 species